rnacentral:misc_RNA from 1 species
GAUGAAGAACGCAGCGAAAUGCGAUACUUGGUGGGAAUUGCAGAAUCCCGUGAACCAUCGAGUCUUUGAACGCAAGUUGCGCCCGAAGCCAUUAGGCCGAGGGCACGCCUGCCUGGGCGUCACACGUCGUUGCCCCCCCAUCUACUCCUUCGGGAUUGCGGGGGGCGGAUGAUGGCCUCCCGUGCGCCUUGUCGCGCGGUUGGCAUAAAUGCCAAGUCCUCGGCGACGCACGCCACGACAAUCGGUGGUUGCGAAACCUCGGUUGCCCGUCGUGUGCGGUCGUCGCGCAUCGAGGGCUCGAAAAAAUUGUCGGGCUCCGGCUCGGCUUUCAACGCGACCCCAGGUCAGGCGGGGUUACCCGCUGAAUUUAAGCAUAUCAAUAAGCGGAGGA